rnacentral:misc_RNA from 1 species
GAUGAAGAACGCAGCGAAAUGCGAUAAGUAGUGUGAAUUGCAGAAUUCAGUGAAUCAUCGAAUCUUUGAACGCACAUUGCGCCCCUUGGUAUUCCAUGGGGCAUGCCUGUUCGAGCGUCAUUUGUACCUUCAAGCUCUGCUUGGUGUUGGGUGUUUGUCUCGCCUCUGCGUGUAGAUUCGCCUCAAAACAAUUGGCAGCCGGCGUAUUGAUUUCGGAGCGCAGUACAUCUCGCGCUUUGCACUCAUAACGACGACGUCCAAAAGUACAUUUUUACACUCUUGACCUCGGAUCAGGUAGGGAUACCCGCUGAACUUAAGCAUAUCAAUAAGCGGAGGA